UUGACCUCAAAUCAGGUAGGACUACCCGCUGAACUUAAGCAUAUCAAUAAGCGGAGGAAAAGAAACUAACAAGGAUUCCCCUAGUAACUGCGAGUGAAGCGGGAAAAGCUCAAAUUUAAAAUCUGGCGGUCUUGCGGCCGUCCGAGUUGUAAUCUGGAGAAGCGUUUAUCCGCGUCGGACCGUGUACAAGUCUUCUGGAAGGGAGCGUCGUAGAGGGUGAGAAUCCCGUCUUUGACACGGACAACCGGUGCUUUUGUGAUGCGCUCUCGAAGAGUCGAGUUGUUUGGGAAUGCAGCUCAAAAUGGGUGGUAAAUUCCAUCUAAAGCUAAAUAUUGCGAGAGACCGAUAGCGAACAAGUACCGUGAGGGAAAGAUGAAAAGCACUUU
rnacentral:rRNA from 1 species